rnacentral:rRNA from 1 species
GAUGAACGCUGGCGGCGUGCUUAACACAUGCAAGUCGAACGGAAAGGCCCAAGCUUGCUUGGGUACUCGAGUGGCGAACGGGUGAGUAACACGUGGGUGAUCUGCCCUGCACUUCGGGAUAAGCCUGGGAAACUGGGUCUAAUACCGGAUAGGACCACAUUUUGGAUGAUGUGGUGGAAAGUUUUUCGGUGUGGGAUGAGCUCGCGGCCUAUCAGCUUGUUGGUGGGGUAAUGGCCUACCAAGGCGUCGACGGGUAGCCGGCCUGAGAGGGUGUACGGCCACAUUGGGACUGAGAUACGGCCCAGACUCCUACGGGAGGCAGCAGUGGGGAAUAUUGCACAAUGGGCGCAAGCCUGAUGCAGCGACGCCGCGUGGGGGAUGACGGCCUUCGGGUUGUAAACUCCUUUCGCUAGGGACGAAGCGUUAUGUGACGGUACCUGGAGAAGAAGCACCGGCUAACUACGUG